rnacentral:rRNA from 1 species
UACAGAGGGGGCAAGCGUUGUUCGGAAUUACUGGGCGUAAAGGGCGCGUAGGCGGCCUGCUAAGUCGAACGUGAAAUCCCCGGGCUCAACCCGGGAACUGCGUCCGAUACUGGUUGGCUUGAAUCCGGGAGAGGGAUGCAGAAUUCCAGGUGUAGCGGUGAAAUGCGUAGAUAUCUGGAGGAAUACCGGUGGCGAAGGCGGCAUCCUGGACCGGCAUUGACGCUGAGGAGCGAAAGCUAGGGGAGCAAACGGG